rnacentral:rRNA from 1 species
UAGUCCACGCCCUAAACGAUGUACACUAGUUGUUGCGGUGCUAGUCAUUGCAGUAAUACAGUUAACACAUUAAGUGUACCGCCUGGGGAGUACGGUCGCAAGAUUAAAACUCAAAGGAAUAGACGGGGACCCGCACAAGCGGUGGAGCAUGUGGUUUAAUUCGAAGAUACGCGAAGAACCUUACCUGGACUUGAAAUCCUUGGAAUCCUGCAGAGAUGCGGGAGUGCUAGUUUACUAGAGCCAAGUGACAGGUGCUGCACGGCUGUCGUCAGCUCGUGUCGUGAGAUGUUGGGUUAAGUCCCGCAACGAGCGCAACCCUCGUCCUUAGUUGCUAACAGUUCGGCUGAGCACUCUAAGGAGACUGCCUUCGUAAGGAGGAGGAAGGUGAGGACGACGUCAAGUCAUCAUGGCCCUUAUGUCCAGGGCUACACACGUGCUACAAUGGUCAGGACAAAGAGUAGCGAUACCGCGAGGUGGAGCAAAUCUUAAAACCUGGUCUC